CUUGUCGCUCUUAUACUUGUUAUGCAAUUUCUCUUGGGAAGAAUUUAAUCUCCUGGCACUCUAAGAAGCAACCUAUUGUCUCUAAGUAGUCCAUUAAAGUUGAUUAUUGCAUUGUCGCUUACAUGAAUGUAUAGACUAUUUGGCUCAGGCAACUUCUCGUUGACCUUGGCUAUUUUUUUUUUUUGUUCUCCAGUGAUUUUGUAUUAUGAUAAUGUCUCUACGACUUAUCUCACAGCUAAUCAUGUUUAACAUGAUCGCAGUAAACAUAUUGAUAUUGAUUGCCACUUUAUUUGCAAAAUGGUUGCAAAUGGAGGGCUUAAUUAGUGUUCGACAUGCAUGUUCCUACGAAGUUAUAGGUUGUAGGGCGAAAGUUUGGUGUAUAGUUUAGAUUUAGGCCUAAUCCGAUUCGAUCCGAAUAAAAUAUGGAAUUAAAUUUUCCAAUUCAAUCCAUACUAAUUAGAAUUUGAGUAUCAUAAUUUUUUUAGACACUAGAUUAGAUCAUAUCCGAAUUAUCCGAACUAUAUGAUGCAAGCUAGUAGCUACAAUAUCAAGAGAAAUGCUCCAAAAGAUGCUAGAGAGAAAAAGAAAAAAAACAAAGAACAUCCCAUGAAACCAAAGAACCUCUACGAAAUAUGAACCUAACCCUAAGACCUUCUUCUGUAAAUCUUUACAUCAUGAAUCAUCACUUAUCAAGCCAAAUUCAAUGCAGAUCCAUCCAAUUACUACUGCUUAUUCCCAAGAUCUUGAUAGAAAUUGUUGUACCUAUCCCUACCUGGCCCCUAAUUCGCUUGCAACAUGGCAACAUGCAGCCACCACCGCAGUAAACCUGGCAACGUGCUCACAGUGCGAGGGGUUGUCUCAAACACCACCACUGCGGCCACCAACAUCAUUCGACUUCUCGGCUACGGGGCGUCCGUGCCCCGUCGAUCCCGCAACAACCAUAUCCAUUGUCUCACCCUGGUUGGCUUCUGAUAGAUUUCUCUUUAACAAGAUCUUCCAUAAUAUUAAGUCUCUAUAUGACUAUCUACCUCUUGCUUCCUCUUUCUUGUAUUUUGUUUGUCCACUUUGUCUUGUAAGAGUCCGCCUAAUUUUAACUUAAAAUUAGGCACGGCUCAAGCCUGAUAUUUCAAUAUAGUGACUAGCUUAAUCUAUUUAAGGACCAGAUUAACCUAUUACGUGAUCAGUUUAAUCUAUUCAAUAAUGACAUUUUUUUAAUCUAUUCAGUAACUAAUUUAUUUUUUUUAAAUUACUUGUUGUAGUUCGAUAAUCAAGAAAGAAAAAGGAGAAGAGAAAUAAUGACUAGGAUAGUGUUGGGUUAAAGUGAAAUGUAAUGUGCUCGUUAGAAAAAUUCAAUAUUGAAUUCGUCUAAUUUUAUAUUAAAAUUAGACCAUCGAUUCUAAUAAUUCAUCUUGUUUGUCUA